rnacentral:rRNA from 1 species
AACGAACGCUGGCGGCGUGGAUUAGGCAUGCAAGUCGCACGAGAAAGCCUUCGGGUGAGUAAAGUGGCGAAAGGGUGAGUAAUGCGUAGAUAACCUACCCUUGAGACUGGGAUAACAGCUCGAAAGGGCUGCUAAUACCGGAUGGUGCGCGAGUGAUUUCGGUCGCUCGAGCUAAAGGUGGGGACCUUCGGGCCUGCCGCUCAAGGAGGGGUCUACGUCCUAUUAGCUUGUUGGUGGGGUAACGGCCCACCAAGGUGACGAUGGGUAGCCGGCCUGAGAGGGUGUCCGGCCACACUGGGACUGAGACACUGCCCAG